ACGUGAUUUUUGGCGUGGUGAAGCGAGGCAUCGAAACAUCUUGCUGCGAUACUUUUGCUUUGAAAGGUCGAUACUGGCUGCGAGUAGACCGCUUCGACUGGAACAUCCCCGCCGUGUGUACAGGUACAGACGACGCUCACGGCAGCGGGCCCGGGCGGACGUGCGGGGCGGCGGAUGUGACAGCAGCCGCCGGACUGAGAGGAGCUCGUUUGGCACCGAAGACCCUCCUCAAGGACAGGAAGACUGCUGAGAAGUAGACUACAUCAAAUUCUGAGGAUUGGUCACAUUUUCUCUCACAUCUCAUUCUUUCUCUCUCGUCCUUGUCAGAAAUGAUUCAUCGUACACUUAGUGCAAAUGAGCACCAUAACAGGAAGAUAUUCAUUUGAUGUUGUGCAGUCAGCUUUUAAAAUGUAGAAGAGUGAAGACCUAAAUGAUCUGGACUCCAGAGAAGAGAAGGGGAGCUGUGGGA